ensembl:lncRNA
UAACAUAAUGAAUCACUGUUGAAAGACUUAGGAACCUUCCUAGAACUGAAGUUGAUUAUUGAUUAUUCAGAGUUAGGGGCAUCAGGCUGCCCAGAUGGGGAGGGGUGUGUGUGUGGGGACUUGCAUGUAAACUCCCGUCUCUCUGUGGGACUAAGGGUGAUGCUGGGGCCUGAGUGUGGAGGGCGGAAGGGAUGUGGGUUCCAGGCAGUGCUGAUUCAUGCUGCAUCUUAGGACUAAGUGUUCUUGUGGUAUUGGGAGGGCACUAGGACUUAGAUCAUCAGACUCCCUCCAGAAAGGAAAGCCACUGAGUGCUCCCGGCUGGAGAUGGCUUGACACAGGAGUCCAAGAGUCCAGUAGGGCUUGUGCUUGCUGAAUCCUCCUCUCUCCCACCUCCUCCCCAGCCUCACACAGGUGGCAAGGUUGCUGCCUACCACUCUGGUAUCUGAUCAGUGGCAAAACCUUGACCUUCAAGAGUUCCGUGAAUGUGCUUGUCUAACUGCUCUUGAGGAAGGCCCAGGUUCCCUCCAGCGUGGGCUCUGACAAUAAACCUUCGACUCUGAGAGGACUCUGAAGACUUGAAUUUUCCAUCCUACUCCACCUCCAAUAGUUGUUUGAUCUAGGGAUACUUACGACUUUUCCAUUCCUACCAUACUGGCUUGUGUUCCAGACAACACGGUGUUCAACUAGUCCUGUCUGUACUUUUCACUAUCAGGGUCCUCAGCUCGCACCAGAUCUGAAGGUGCGGAGGGAAGGAACGGAAGAGAGAAGCUGAGAAUUCUCUCCCUGUCCAGCAUCGCCAGUGCCACCAGCCCUGUGUCCAGUUUCCUUAUCCUGUGGUUGACAAUGCAACAGCAGACCGGCCAAUACCAGCCCCCUCUCCUCAAUCGCUUCCCAGGAUUGUUUAUAGGAGACCAACAUUUCAGAGAGCAAGCGCUACUUCAACAUAUCCGUAGGCAGCACACUGUCAUCCAUACCACAGAUCUUAUUUUAAACUAAUUACAUUAAGGAGGGGUGGGUGGGAAGGAGGAGAGGGGGUGAUUAUAAUCGGGGAUAUAUUUUUUUAAAGACCUAGUUUCAAAAAUCUCAGACUUAAUUUAGUAAAUUUCAAUUACAAGGGGAGUUACUAAGCUGAACAUCAUUUGCAUUAUAUCCUUAAUUACCACUUCAUUUGUACCCGAGAUCAUCGAUAGAGAUUCUUGGGAAUGUAGGCUCAGAAUAAGUGAUUGAUCCUAAUGAGGCCUUUGUUCUUCCUGCGCCCAUCUUAGGAAGCUAUUUCCUCUCUCCUGGAGAGGCACAGAGUUUGCCAAGCUGGGUGGGGACACCUUAAAUUAGAAAUGGAGCCUGAGGAGAAAUCAAGAGGUUUUCAAACUGGCUUCACCACCAGGGAGAGAGGAUGCCACACCACUCCUCUCCCUAACAGUCCUCAUCAGGCUGUUAUUCCUCUCCCUUUGAAUGCAUUAGCUCUGCUGGGCUGCUGUGGAGGACUCUGCUCCUGUGCUGGCCACAAACGUCCAUCUUUAUCAGCCCGCAACAGAGGAAAUAGCAUUUCGGGGCCUUCCCCUUGCAAAUAACAGAUGCCACUAUCUAUCUGUCUGCUUCUGCUUUUCCUGCCUCCUCUAAAGAGUGGGUGUCAGCAGUCCCUGGCCACUGGAUCUUUAUGGGAAAAGCUGUUUUCCAAGAUCAAUUAGCUCUAAAAAAGUGAUAAGCCCACAGGGACUGCGAGAUUCUGUGUGUGUGUGUGUCUGUGUUAAGAUCCAUUUUGUAGAAGGAGACAGUCUUCUUUUUGGGUGUGGGUAGGGAAAGGGCAAAGUAAUAAAAAUCUCCAACCUAAAUCCUGCUAGCGCCAGCUCUCCCUUCACAUGGCACCUCCCGCCCUGCAGGGCUUUACAAAGCACUUGUUCAUCUAUAACCUUAUAGGUAAGAAAAGAAUUGCCUUCAUUCUACAAAUGAGGAAAAUGAGGCUCAGAGAGAUUAAGCGACUUGCCCAAAGUCACUCAGCUGGGGGGUGACAGACUGAGGAUUUAAGUCCAGGUCUCUUAAUCCUGUGCUCCUUGCAUUACCCGGAACCACCUCCCACGAGCCCCCAGCAGCCUGAACAUCUACCCCAUUUGUGGAAGUCAGGAUCGGAUCUUACUGCAGUGUGUUACCCCAUUUAAACUUUAUUUUUGAAUCUGUAUUUUUAAGCAACAAUUUUAUUUCAGAGGAAUCCAGAGAGUGACCUUACUUAACCUUCCUCUGGAGGUGCGUCUGUUUGGUGAAGCAUGGUUGUUGGGGGAGGUGGGGAGGAGCCAGUAGGGAAUUUUCCCAGUUUUCCACUGGGUGAGGCCAAGGCCCAUGGAGUCAGAGACAAAUCCAUGAUUCUCCUGGCAUUCUGAACAUUUGCCAAAUCCCUGCUCCUUGCUCUCAUUAUUCCUCUGGGGUGGUUUCCAAGUGUGGAGGAGUGUAGGCUGCGGAAGCAUUUGUGCUGGGGUGGGGCCCCGGGCAGAGGCUGUGAGGAAGGAGGGUGUUUACUGCAAGGGUCCAGUCAAGCCUUGGGGUCACAGACACUGGUCCAGAGCAGGAAGUGUCCUCUGAGCUAGAAGGGUGUUCAUCUCCUCCAGAACCUCCUGGAUACUGUAGCUGCCUCUGCAAUAGCUGGUUACCCCCUCAUGGUGCAGGAAUCCUCUGGUGAAAUGAACAAAAGUUUUGUAGCUCAAUAACUUGGGUUCAAAUCCCACCUCUGCUUAUUAGCUAAAAGGUCUUGGGUAAGUCACUAAACCACCCCAAGGAUCAGUUUUCUCAUGUAUAAGAUCAGAAUACUAAUAUCCACUCGCUGGGCUGUUCUGAGGUUUAAAUGAAUAAUGGAAAGCAAGUAGCAAAUGGUGGCUUUGAUUCGCAGAGGGCUGGAGGCAGUCAGGAAGUGGGAGGCUGAGGAAAGCAGACUGCUUGUCUCUCAAGACAAGAGCAAGGAGCAGGAGUGGGUUUGGUGCUGAGACAGCUUGCAAAGACUUUUUGUAAAUAGCCCAUAUGAAGGCUCGGGGGGGAGCACCGAGAAACUAGUUUGAAAAGCAAAAAAGUCAUAAAAUAGCACCAGUGGUUUUUUUUUUUCUUAGUGUGAGCAAAAAUAUUCAAGCAGACAAACCCAAGCCAAUCUUCUGAGACUAAGCCUCUAAAUAUUACUUGUGAGUCACCCCAGCGUCUUUUCAAGAGAAAGACACCCCCAUCUCCUUACCCAACACUUCCAUCUGUGACGCAUUAGGAUUGUAGCUCCUCAGCUUCUCCCACCAAAAUCACAGACCCUUGUCGUGGGCAUGAGGACAGCCCUGCACGCAGAGAAUGGUAGCCCCUGUCCUGGUUACAGCCACUUUCCGAAACGCCCCAUCCAGAGCUCAGGACGCACACCAAGCACCACAGCGGGCACUAGGUGGCGCUGGACCCCACGUUAUUCAGGCAACUGAACGCGGCUGCUCUUUCCGGAAAAAUGUUUCUGCAGCGAGGUCCUCUCCUUCCCAGAGACCUGGGGGGCUAUUUCAGUUUAUAAUACAAGCACAAAGCUCCCCCAGGAGAUCGCCCCUGGCUUUUCUGCUAAAUGGGCCACUGUCCAGGUGUGGCUGCGAAGGCAGUUCCAGACCUGAGGCUGAGACCCAGCAGUCAUUUACUGAGCUAUAUAAAACUUUAGGAACAAGGAGCCCUUUUCAACUUCCGCUCGGCCCAGAGUGGCGGGAAGGAAAAGAACUUUCUCCCUUAGGAGGAAGUGGAGAAAAAAAAAAAAGAGGCAGAUCCAUGAGGCUCCUUCGUGAGACCUGCCCAGCAUCUGCCCUUCCCUCCGGGGCAGAGCUGAGGGGACUUCGACCCUGACCCCAGGCCAUUUCAUUCCUGGCCCUCCAAAUCCCAGGGUGAGACCCAUCCUCUGUGCCCCUGAGGAGCUGAGUAGUGGGUUUAUUUUCUGUCCAGGGAUCUGGGUCGGGGUUGCCGUUAAAUACCUGUUUAAUUUCAUUGCACCAUGAGUACCCCCUCAUAUAUAUCAAGAGCACAUUGGGAGCCGUGUUGUGGUGAUCUCGAAGCUCUUAGGGACAAUAACAGUCAAUGGCAGUUAUAAAGUGAUUUCCAGUUUUCUAAGCGUCAUGAGCACUCUUUAUACCUGAAGAGGUAGCUGACCUGCAUUUUCCAUUCGCACAGAAAGCAACGGACACUCCAGGGUCUCACUGGCACUGCUGGCACUGAUGUUGUCUCUUUGAAACAAUGAGGAUCAUUGUUGCUUAUUAUCAUGUCACUGUUAUGUUCCCUUUGAUGUGCAAGAGGCCAAAGAAAACACUUGCUUAAAGACAGCUUUUGGCUACUGGGCUUCUGUUUGGCUAAUACUAUCUGGGCAAAGAAGGGCUGAAUGUGCAGGAGCACUGAAGGGAGGCGAAGGUCUGAGCAGAGGCUUGACUCCCUGCGUUUCCACGGUAGGAGGUUGGCCUGUGCAGAGUAGAGGGCAGCUGUGUUGGCAGUGCUGCUAAGAAGGCAACGGGGGAGUGUCAAUCAGCCACUCAGCACAUUCGUGGGCACCUACAAUGUAGGAAAGAAAUGGUAUGCUUCUGUGAGGUCACAAUGACCUGGAAGUCUUUGCCUCCAAAGAACUUAUGGUGCAGUGUCAUUG